GAGUUUGAUCCUGGCUCAGAGCGAACGCUGGCGGCGUGCUUAACACAUGCAAGUCGAACGCGCAGUCUUCUGUAGCAAUACAGGAGGCCGGCGCGUGGCGAACGGGUGCGUAACACGUGGAUAACCUUCCUUCAGGUGGGGAAUAACCCAGUGAAAAUUGGGCUAAUACCGCAUAACAUGACGAUGGCACAUGCCGUUGUCUUCAAAGCCGCAAGGCGCCAGAUGAGGGAUCCGCGGCCGAUUAGCUUGUUGGCGAGGUAAUGGCUCACCAAGGCAAUGAUCGGUAGCCGGACUGAGAGGUUGGCCGGCCACACUGGAACUGAGACACGGUCCAGACUCCUACGGGAGGCAGCAGUGGGGAAUCUUGCGCAAUGGACGAAAGUCUGACGCAGCAACGCCGCGUGGGGGAUGAAGCUUCUCGGAGUGUAAACCCCUUUCGACCCGGACGAAUGCCCGCAAGGGUUUGACGGUACGGGUAUAAGAAGCCCCGGCUAACUACGUGCCAGCAGCCGCGGUAAAACGUAGGGGGCCAGCGUUGCUCGGAAUUACUGGGCGUAAAGGGUCCGUAGGCGGUGUGGCAAGUCGGAAGUGAAAUCUCUGGGCUUAACCCAGAGGCUGCUCCCGAAACUGCCAUGCUAGAGUGUGAGAGAGGCGAGUGGAAUUGCGGGUGUAGCGGUGAAAUGCGUAGAUAUCCGCAGGAACAUCCGAGGCGAAAGCGGCUCGCUGGAUCACAACUGACGCUGAGGGACGAAAGCUAGGGGAGCAAACAGGAUUAGAUACCCUGGUAGUCCUAGCCCCAAACCAUCAGGACUUGGGGUUUGCCCUGUA
rnacentral:rRNA from 1 species